rnacentral:pre_miRNA from 1 species
AGAUGAUACCUCUGGAGAAGCGCGUGACCUGACCCCAGCAGAACCCAACCCGCUUUUCCGCCUAGAUGUCUCUAU